UAGUAACGGCGAGUGAAGCGGCAACAGCUCAAAUUUGAAAUCUGGCUCCUUCGGGGUCCGAAUUGUAAUUUGUAGAGAGUGCUUCGGGCGAGACCUCGGUCUAAGUCCAUUGGAACAUGGUGUCAUAGAGGGUGAGAAUCCCGUAUGCGACCGUGGCUCGAGCCCAUGUGAAGCCUCUUCGACGAGUCGAGUUGUUUGGGAAUGCAGCUCAAAAUGGGUGGUAAAUUUCAUCUAAAGCUAAAUAUUGGCUGGAGACCGAUAGCGCACAAGUAGAGUGAUCGAAAGAUGAAAAGCACUUUGGAAAGAGAGUCAAACAGUACGUGAAAUUGUUGAAAGGGAAGCGCUUGCAACCAGACCUGCCCGUAGGCGAUCAGCCGCUGUUCUCAGCGGUGUACUCGCUCUGCGAUCAGGCCAGCAUCGGUUUCGGCGGUCGGAUAAAGGCCUUGGAAAUGUAGCUUCCCUUCGGGGGAGUCUUAUAGCCCUCGGUGUAAUGCGGCCAGCCGGGACCGAGGACCGCGCUUCGGCUAGGAUGCUGGCGUAAUGGUUGUAAGCGACCCGUCUUGAAACACGGACCAAGGAGUCUAACAUCUAUGCGAGUGUUUGGGUGUCAAACCCAUACGCGGAAUGAAAGUGAACGGAGGUGAGAACCCUUAAGGGCGCAUCAUCGACCGAUCCAGAUGUCUUCGGAUGGAUUUGAGUAUGAGCAUAGCUGUUGGGACCCGAAAGAUGGUGAACUAUGCCUGAAUAGGGUGAAGCCAGAGGAAACUCUGGUGGAGGCUCGCAGCGGUUCUGACGUGCAAAUCGAUCGUCAAAUUUGGGUAUAGGGGCGAAAGACUAAUC
rnacentral:rRNA from 1 species